rnacentral:rRNA from 1 species
GACGAACGCUGGCGGCGUGCUUAACACAUGCAAGUCGAACGGAAAGGCCUGCUUUCCCUUGUGGAUUGCGGGUACUCGAGUGGCUAACGGGUGAGUAACACGUGUGUGAUUUGCCCCCAACUUGGGUAUAAGACUGGGAAACUGGGUCUAAUUACCGAUAGGACUGCAGGGUGGUGCAUGUGGUGGAAAACGUUUUUUUAGUGGUUGGGGAUGAGCUCGCGGCCUAUCAGCUUGUUGGUGGGGUUAUGGCCUACCAAGGCGGCGACGGGAAGCCAGCCGGAGAGGGUGGACGCCGACAGUGAGACUGAGAGACGGCCCAGACUCGUAGGAGAGGCAGGAGUUGGGAAUAAAGCACCAAGGGCGGAAGCCUGAUGCAGCGACUGCGCGAGGGGGAUGACGGCCUUCGGGUAGUAAACUCCUUUCGAACGCGAGGAAGGCACCUGGUUGGAAGGGUGGUGACGGUAGUGGAAGAAGAAGCACCGGCUAACUACGUG